rnacentral:rRNA from 1 species
UACAGAGGGUGCGAGCGUUAAUCGGAAUUACUGGGCGUAAAGCGUGCGCAGGCGGUGAUGUAAGACAGUUGUGAAAUCCCCGGGCUCAACCUGGGAACUGCAUCUGUGACUGCAUCGCUGGAGUGCGGCAGAGGGGGAUGGAAUUCCGCGUGUAGCAGUGAAAUGCGUAGAUAUGCGGAGGAACACCGAUGGCGAAGGCAAUCCCCUGGGCCUGCACUGACGCUCACGCACGAAAGCGUGGGGAGCAAACAGG